rnacentral:rRNA from 1 species
UGCAAGUCGAACGGGCUCUUCGGAGCAAGUGGCGGACGGGUGAGUAACGCGUGAGAAUGUGCCUUGAGGAUGGGGAUAACAAUAGGAAACUAAUGCUAAGACCCAAUGUGCCUUAAGUGGUGAAAAAUGAAAAUUGCCUGAAGAGGAGCUCGCGUCUGAUUAGCUAGUUGGGGUGGUAAAAGCGCACCAAGGCGACGAUCAGUAGCUGGUCUGAGAGGAUGAGCAGCCACACUGGGACUGAGACACGGCCCAGACUCCUACGGGAGGCAGCAGUGGGGAAUUUUCCGCAAUGGGCGAAAGCCUGACGGAGCAAUACCGCGUGAGGGAGGAAGGCUCUUGGGUUGUAAACCUCAAAACUUAGGGAAGAAAAAAAUGACGGUACCUAAUUUAAGCAUCGGCUAACUCCGUGCCAGCAGCCGCGG